CCUACGGGAGGCAGCAGUGAGGAAUAUUGGUCAAUGGACGAGAGUCUGAACCAGCCAAGUAGCGUGAAGGAUGACUGCCCUAUGGGUUGUAAACUUCUUUUAUAUGGGAAUAAAAUGUUCCACGUGUGGGAUUUUGUAUGUACCAUAUGAAUAAGGAUCGGCUAACUCCGUGCCAGCAGCCGCGGUAAUACGGAGGAUCCGAGCGUUAUCCGGAUUUAUUGGGUUUAAAGGGAGCGUAGGUGGAUUGUUAAGUCAGUUGUGAAAGUUUGCGGCUCAACCGUAAAAUUGCAGUUGAAACUGGCAGUCGUGAGUACAGUAGAGGUGGGCGGAAUUCGUGGUGUAGCGGUGAAAUGCUUAGAUACCACGAAGAACUCCGAUUGCGAAGGCAGCUCACUGGACUGCGACUGACACUGAGGCUCGAAAGUGUGGGUAUCAAACAGGAUUAGAUACCCGUGUAGUC
rnacentral:rRNA from 1 species